AAAAAAAAAAAAAAAAAAAAAAAAACAAGGAUCAACCAUGACUGGUUCUGGUUCUCCUUGUGGCGCUUGCAAGUUCUUGAGGAGGAAAUGCGUGAGAGGCUGCGUCUUUGCUCCAUAUUUUUGCCACGAGCAAGGUGCGACGCAUUUCGCGGCCAUUCACAAGGUCUUUGGCGCAAGCAACGUGUCAAAGCUCCUGGCAAACCUCCCCGUGAGUGAUCGGUGCGAGGCCGCCGUGACCAUCUCGUAUGAGGCUCAGGCGCGGCUGCAGGACCCCAUUUAUGGAUGCGUCUCGCACAUCUUUGCGCUCCAACAACAGGUAUUCAAUUUGCAAGCGCAAUUGGCUUCUCUGAAGGAGCAAGCUACUCAAAGCCUUUGUGCUCCCUCUUCCACGAGAGGGAGCCUUAACGAGAAAUAUUCUGGAAAUAAGGUCAUCUCGAACCAAGCCCUUGACGUGCAAAGUUGGUUGCACAUGGCAAAUCCAAAUAAUUUGCCUCAUCAGUUCAGUUUAGAUAGCAUGAGCAAUGUGAACGCAAUGCCUUACUAUGACAAUGGGUCGAUGGAUUCAAGCUCUGCAGGGAACAAUUAUGACAAUUCACUUGUCCUAGAAGAGAACAUCUCCUUUGGGAGCUUAGAAGAGGCUUCUGGUGGUUCGAUCUCUUCAAUGGAUAUGCAAACAAGCAACAGGCAGUGGAGUUUCCGGGACGGUGAUGACCUCCACUCCUUCACGUAUGGGUACAUUCACCAUUAGCAAGGCGUCAGCGAGCAUUUGGUGAGAGAUGAAAUUCAGUCGAAGAUGAUCACCAUUUGUUCAUUUUUUUUAGAUGCUGCUUGGCUAUAAGCUGAGAAGAAAACCCUAGAAAUGCUCAUGCACAGUUCGAAACCCCAUUUAAAGCCAUCUACUGUUGUUUGUUCUUGUUCGACAUAAUCCAACAAUAUUCAGUGGACUAAAGGAAAGGUGUGGCCUCAUCUUUUUCCAAAGUAAUAUCCUUGUAAAGGAGAUUAAUGAAUUCCUGGGCGGAAAGCUUCCCCUCGCAUCUGGUAGUCCACUGAUUUGGUUAGGUAACUAGAUAUUAUAGAACAUAUUGUAAUGGCAAUAGCCAUAGCAGCUUCAGAUUGCACAUAACAAUCAUGCCUUGGGUUUCUCGAGCAUUCACGUUGAAAAUAAUAUAAGGUUGAUUGCCCUCUGGAUGCAAGAAACAAUAGAUUAAUGUACUAUUUCCUGUACUAUAUUAUACACCAUUAUCAGAAUUAUUAUCUUGUCUUGGAU